GCCAUGGCUCAGUAGAGCAUCCUCUUGCCAUGCAGAGGGUCCCAGGUUCGAUUCCUGGCAUCUGCA
rnacentral:tRNA from 1 species